UUGAAGGGAGUGUUCCGUCGUUUCCGUUGCCGGCUGUUUGCAGUGGGGAAACCGAGGCAGCUCCUGCUCCCCCUAGUUCUUCCGCUCCUGUGAGAAAAAAAAAUGUUUAUUUCUUUGUGGGAGUUCUUCUAUGGGCACUUUUUUCGAUUUUGGAUGAAAUGGCUAUUACGACAGAUGACUGGGAAGUGUGAAUUGCAGCGAAUAUUUGAUACCUAUGUAGGUGCACAAAGGACACACAGGAUAGAAAUUCCUUGACAUACUCCAAGAAUAAGUUUUACAGAAGGCGACACAUGUUGUUCAGAGUGAAGUGGACAAAUAUGUAGAUGAUAUUAUGAAGGAAAAGAAUAUUAACCCUGAGAAGGAUGCCAGUUUAAAAUAUGCAUGAAGAUGUGCUUACUGCAGAUAACUGGUUAUAAACAGCUGUAUUUGGAUGUAGAAAGUGUGAGGAAAAGGCCAUAUGAUUCUGAUAACCUACAGCAUGAAGAGCUACUCAUGAAGUUUGGAAUCUUCUAAUGCCCACGAAGAAGUUAAACGCUAGAAUCUCCAAGCAGUGGGCUGAAAUUGGUUUUCAGGGUGAUGAUCCCAAGACAGACUUCAGAGGCAUGGGCAUACUUGGGUUAAUCAAUCUUGUUAUUUCAGUGAAAAUUACACUAGUGAAGCUCAUCAGAUUCUUUCCCGUUCAAAUCAUCCAAAAUUAGGUAUUCUUAUGCAAUAGUUGGAAUCAAUCUUACAGAGAUGGCUUAUAGCUUACUGAAGAGUGAAGCUUUGAAGUUUCAUCUCUAUAACCUUGUUCCUGGUAUACCAACAAUGGAACACUUUCAUCAGUUUUACUUUAUCUUGUCUAUGAAUUUGACAAGUUUUGGUUUGAAGAAGAACCAGAAAGCAUUAUGUAUUUCAAUUUGUAUAGAGAGAAGUUUCAUGAAAAGAUUAAAGGACUUUUACUGGA
rnacentral:lncRNA from 1 species